rnacentral:lncRNA from 1 species
GCAUCCCUUGUCUGUUCUGUGCAUUUCCUUGUUGGCGUUGCCUUAUGUACGUCAUUGUACAAUUUUGCAGGGCGUUACGUCUUGUUCGUUAGUUGGUUGUAAAGCGCUGUUGUCUGUUGUGGUUUUUCAAGGUUGUGCCGCAUGCAACGUGCUUGUGCAGUCUUAUUUUGUUUGCAUCAUAAAGCAGAUCAUGGCCGGGCAGCAGAUCAGCAGCUGAUAGGCAAAACAGCAGAUCAGCAAACAUCUAGGAAAGACAGCAAACUAGACCAGCUUACCGGAUUUUAGCAGCACGUGUGCCGUGGUGUGGUGUAUUGUGCUGCAUGACAAUGUAACUAUUUUGUAAGUGUCAAUUUGUAAAAUUAUGUGCUGCAUAAUUUAUAUUUGCAUCCUGAAUCAAUUAAUAAUAUUUUCUCAUGAAUAUUUCCUUGAAGCAUUUAUAUCUAAAUGUUUUGUCAAGUAAAUGUAUUGUUUAUUAUUGAUUGUUUUUACGUAAUAUAUAUUAAACUAAAUUUGUGUUUAACGUGUUGUCGUUACGUGAUGCUCCCGACGUCGGCGUGUCGUCCCCAGCGGGAUCAUUGUAGGGCGCUUUGUUGGGGCUGUGCCGGGCAACAUGAGAAUCGUAGCACAUCAGGGCGUAACCUUUCGAUGCACUCACCUCGCUGAACGCAUCUAAUUCCCGUUCUGCUCCUUGCUGCUACACAACUUGCCUGCCCACAUGCACCACAUGCACAACUUGCCGUGGCCAUCGCUGUCGUUUUCUCGCCGACGGCGAGGUCG